rnacentral:rRNA from 1 species
UGCGUAGGGUGCGAGCGUUAAUCGGAAUUACUGGGCGUAAAGCGUGCGCAGGCGGUUUUGUAAGCCAGAUGUGAAAUCCCCGAGCUUAACUUGGGAACUGCAUUUGGGACUGCAAGGCUAGAGUACGGCAGAGGGGGGUAGAGUUCCUGGUGUAGCAGUGAAAUGCGUAGAUAUCAGGAGGAAUACCGAUGGCGAAGGCAGCCCCCUGGGUCGAUACUGACGCUCAUGCACGAAAGCGUGGGGAGCAAAC